rnacentral:lncRNA from 1 species
GCCUAUUAUACUAAGUUAUACUAAAUGACACGUUUUAGGGUAGUGCAUAUAUAGUUUUCUACAAGACAAUCUUCCAACCCAAACUACAACUGAAACUAGAGUAUGUAACUCAAAACGAUAUGGCAUUUUCAGUUCAGCUAAGAUGACAGGAAAACAUCUACACUCUCGUCAAGACCUCCUCUGUUUCAGUUACUGCUUGCUUCACAAGCACAUGUAUCUAUCAAGUGGUAUGCGCCAUUCAACCACCGAUAUCUUUUGGGUACAUCAAUUUG